GAUGAACUAAUUAAUGGAAAAUAUUGAA
rnacentral:sRNA from 1 species